AAGAGAGACUGUAAAAUAAAUUUGUUUUAAAAUACACCCUAGUAACUAUAAUGGUGAUGUGUAAAAGAUCUCUGUAAGUAUUUGUAGCACUUCAAAUAAAGUGCUGCUGUUUUCCACCAUUUCCAAGGAUAGAGUACUUGUGCUACUGCCCUUUGUGUAUUAAGGAUUUAUAUCUGUGAUCAGGUGCCCUGUGUUUCAAAUAAGCACUUAAGACAAGAACCAUACAGUCAUGAGUACUUCACAUAUAUGCCUUUGUUAAUGUUAACAUUUUUGUAAUAGCCUUUCCCUGCAAUCAUAACCACUUCAGUUCUGUGCAUUUCCUGGUUUUUUAAAAUUUUCUUUCUCUGAACAGAACCUUUGCCGGUUCGCUUUUUACCUGAAGCAGCUUAUUCACAUCCUCUACCUGCUCCUGCUUCUCCUCGUGAUGGAAGCUGGGGAGAGCCUAGACACAGAUACUGCACUUUGUCAGGAACUGACAUACCCUCUGGUGGGACACUUUACCUAACCUGCCGUUCGCCUGGAACCAACACAACCUCUGAAUCCUUUCAGCUUCCAUUUGUACCUCAAGCAAUCAGUUCACCUCCUGGUCCUGCUCUUGAUGGAAGCUGGGGAGAGCCUAGACACAGAUACUGCACUUUGUCAGGAACUGACAUACCCUCUGGUGGGACACUUUACCUAACCUGCCGUUCGCCUGGAACCAACACAACCUCUGAAUCCUUUCAGCUUCCAUUUGUACCUCAAGCAAUCAGUUCACCUCCUGGUCCUGCUCUUGAUGUACACUGGGGACAGCCUGCACACAGAACUUAUUUUUUGUCAGAAAGCGACAUACCCUCUGGUGGGACAUCCUACAGAAUCUCCUCUUCGUCUGGAACCAACACAACCACUGAUUCUGUUCCAAGUUUCUUCAUACCCCGAGGAGUCAGUACUCCUGUUGCUCCUGCUCCUGAUGCAAGUUGGAGAGAGCUUAGGGAUGAAGUUUUUACCAGCGGGGCAGAAAGUGAGUUUGUCCAGAGUUACAGCCGACAUUUCGGGCCGCUGCGACCUGGAACCAACAAAACCACAGAUCUGAUUCACUACAGAAGAAGCGACUCUGAGUUAUAUGACGUUCUUUGGAUAACUCGCGAACCUAGUCUGCUUAAAAUCCCCCUCCCCAGUGGCAGGAGCGGCAAGACUUACAGUUUACAACGACCAACGAGCAUGUACGUCCAAGUUAGCCCAACCGGAAUCGAAACUAUCUCAUGGCUGGAUGAUUCCUCCCGAAUUAGGCCAUUAAGUACUUUUACCAUGUCCACUCCCUCCUGGGAAAGGAUUAGAGCUCCAGCUGGUACUCCAGUUCAUCCUCCUGCUCCAGUCAAUGCAUCCUUCAGGGUCAGACCACGCAGAGCCCAUUCUUUGCCUCCAUUCAGAUCUGUCAGCCAGGGUAUCUCGUCCAACACCAGAAGUAUUCAGGAAACUUAAUUAUCGGACUCUUGGUUGUGACAGUUUCCUUAAGGAAUAUCUCAGCCUCUCUUCAGAAGGAAAAAGCUCUAGAAAUGUAAAAAGAGCUAAUUAAAGUACAGCUUUACCUACCUUUGUAUUGUAGUUCA
rnacentral:lncRNA from 12 species